rnacentral:lncRNA from 1 species
CCCCCUGAACUUUCAAAACCGGUCAAAUAACCCCCUCGAGUGGUUUUAGAUGGUGGUUUUUGUCUUUUUCUUUUUUUAUUUAUUUUCGUUGAAUCUUUGAAAAAUAAUAAUAAAUCACAGAAAACCAUAAAAUUAAAAAUUCAAUUUUGUUAGACUCCUAUCAAGUAGAUCUACACAGUAAAUAUAUAAUAUGAUAUACUUUAGUACAAAGUUUUUGCUGUAGCUUUAAAUAUAUAUUUUUUGUAAUUAUUUCGAAUAAUUCAUAUAUGUAGUUCCUAUGGUCCAAUUGUGGUAA